GGGCUGCAGUAUUUUGACUGUACAAAGGUAGCAUAAUCAAUAGUCUCUUAAUUGGUGACUUGUAUGAAAGAUUGGAUGAGAUAUAUACUGUCUCUAAUUAAUUUAUAGAAUUUAAUUUUUUAGUAAAAAAGCUAAAAUAAGUUUAAAAGACGAGAAGACCCUAUAGAGUUUAAUAAUUUAUUUAAUUAUUAUUAAUAUAUAAUUUUUAAAAUUAAAAUUAAAUAGAUUAUUUUGUUGGGGUGAUAGAAAAAUUAAAUUAACUUUUUUUUGUUAUUUACAUUAAUUUAUGAUUAAGUGAUCCAUUUAUAAUGAUUAAAAGAAAAAAUUACCUUAGGGAUAACAGCGUAAUUUUUUUUUUUAGUUCAAAUAGGAAAAAAAGUUUGCGACCUCGAUGUUGGAUUAA
rnacentral:rRNA from 6 species